UCAGUGUCUAGACACUAAGUUGGUGGACAUGUUUGCCCACCUCAGCAAUCCUUUUCAGAGAGGCAAUGUGGAUGGGAGAGAGACUAGAGAGAGGAGGAAGGAUGCUGGCCUUCCAUCUGAGAGUCAUGAAGGACGAAGGAGGUGGUUUUGGAGAGUGUGGAGGGUUUACAGUCAGACAUCAUGCAUUGCACCUGACCUAAGCGAGAACUAGUUCAAAAAGGAAGAGGAGAGGCUGACUACAGAGCUGCACCUCACUACCCAGAAGAGUACCAUGCCGUUCCAGAA
rnacentral:lncRNA from 1 species